rnacentral:rRNA from 1 species
CAGCAGUCGCCACGGGAAUACGGAGGAUCCGAGCGUUAUCCGGAAUUAUUGGGUUUAAAGGGUGCGUAGGCGGACAGAUAAGUCAGUGGUGAAAGACGGUGGCUCAACCAUCGCAGUGCCGUUGAUACUGUUUGUCUUGAAUAUGGAUGAGGUAGGCGGAAUGUGGCAAGUAGCGGUGAAAUGCAUAGAUAUGCCACAGAACACCGAUUGCGAAGGCAGCUUACCAAGGCAAUAUUGACGCUGAGGCACGAAAGCGUGGGGAUCGAACAGGAUUAGAUACCCCCGUAGUCCCUGUCUCUUAUAC